rnacentral:rRNA from 1 species
UUAAAUUGAAGAGUUUGAUCAUGGCUCAGAUUGAACGCUGGCGGCAGGCCUAACACAUGCAAGUCGAAUGGUAACAGGAAACAGCUUGCUGUUUCGCUGACGAGUGGCGGACGGGUGAGUAAUGUCUGGGAAACUGCCUGAUGGAGGGGGAUAACUACUGGAAACGGUAGCUAAUACCGCAUAACGUCGCAAGACCAAAGAGGGGGACCUUCGGGCCUCUUGCCAUCAGAUGUGCCCAGAUGGGAUUAGCUAGUAGGUGGGGUAACGGCUCACCUAGGCGACGAUCCCUAGCUGGUCUGAGAGGAUGACCAGCCACACUGGAACUGAGACACGGUCCAGACUCCUACGGGAGGCAGCAGUGGGGAAUAUUGCACAAUGGGCGCAAGCCUGAUGCAGCCAUGCCGCGUGUAUGAAGAAGGCCUUCGGGUUGUAAAGUACUUUCAGCGGGGAGGAAGGGAGUAAAGUUAAUACCUUUGCUCAUUGACGUUACCCGCAGAAGAAGCACCGGCUAACUCCGUGCCAGCAGCCGCGGUAAUACGGAGGGUGCAAGCGUUAAUCGGAAUUACUGGGCGUAAAGCGCACGCAGGCGGUUUGUUAAGUCAGAUGUGAAAUCCCCGGGCUCAACCUGGGAACUGCAUCUGAUACUGGCAAGCUUGAGUCUCGUAGAGGGGGGUAGAAUUCCAGGUGUAGCGGUGAAAUGCGUAGAGAUCUGGAGGAAUACCGGUGGCGAAGGCGGCCCCCUGGACGAAGACUGACGCUCAGGUGCGAAAGCGUGGGGAGCAAACAGGAUUAGAUACCCUGGUAGUCCACGCCGUAAACGAUGUCGACUUGGAGGUUGUGCCCUUGAGGCGUGGCUUCCGGAGCUAACGCGUUAAGUCGACCGCCUGGGGAGUACGGCCGCAAGGUUAAAACUCAAAUGAAUUGACGGGGGCCCGCACAAGCGGUGGAGCAUGUGGUUUAAUUCGAUGCAACGCGAAGAACCUUACCUGGUCUUGACAUCCACGGAAGUUUUCAGAGAUGAGAAUGUGCCUUCGGGAACCGUGAGACAGGUGCUGCAUGGCUGUCGUCAGCUCGUGUUGUGAAAUGUUGGGUUAAGUCCCGCAACGAGCGCAACCCUUAUCCUUUGUUGCCAGCGGUCCGGCCGGGAACUCAAAGGAGACUGCCAGUGAUAAACUGGAGGAAGGUGGGGAUGACGUCAAGUCAUCAUGGCCCUUACGACCAGGGCUACACACGUGCUACAAUGGCGCAUACAAAGAGAAGCGACCUCGCGAGAGCAAGCGGACCUCAUAAAGUGCGUCGUAGUCCGGAUUGGAGUCUGCAACUCGACUCCAUGAAGUCGGAAUCGCUAGUAAUCGUGGAUCAGAAUGCCACGGUGAAUACGUUCCCGGGCCUUGUACACACCGCCCGUCACACCAUGGGAGUGGGUUGCAAAAGAAGUAGGUAGCUUAACCUUCGGGAGGGCGCUUACCACUUUGUGAUUCAUGACUGGGGUGAAGUCGUAACAAGGUAACCGUAGGGGAACCUGCGGUUGGAUCACCUCCUUACCUUAAAGAAGC